GGCCUGGUGGUCUAGUAGUAUGAUUCCUUCUUAGGGUGUUGUCAGGAUUGAACCUGGUACAUGAUUGGAGGAGGUCCCGGGUUCAAUUCCCGGCCAGGCCC